CUUAGUACGGCGAGUGAGCGGUAAAAGCUCAAAUUUGAAAUCUGGUACUUUCAGUGCCGACUGAUUUGUAGAAUUUGUCUUUGAUUAGGUCCUUGUGAGUACCAGGGGAACAGGACGUCAUAGAGGGUGAGAAUCCCGUUUGGCGAGGAUACCUUUUCUCUGUAAGACUUUUUCGAAGAGUCGAGUUGUUUGGGAAUGCAGCUCAAAGUGGGUGGUAAAUUCCAUCUAAAGCUAAAUAUUGGCGAGAGACCGAUAGCGAACAAGUACAGUGAUGGAAAGAUGAAAAGAACUUUGAAAAGAGAGUGAAAAAGUACGUGAAAUUGUUGAAAGGGAAGGGCAUUUGAUCAGACAUGGUGUUUUUUGCAUGCACUCGCCUCUCGUGGGCUUGGGCCUCUCAAAAAUUUCACUGGGCCAACAUCAAUUCUGGCAGCAGGAUAAAUCAUUAAGAAUGUAGCUACUUCGGUAGUGUUAUAGCUUUUUGGAAUACUGUUAGCCGGGAUUGAGGACUGCGCUUCGGCAAGGAUGUUGGCAUAAUGGUUAAAUGCCGCCCGUCUUGAAACACGGACCA
rnacentral:rRNA from 1 species